ensembl:lincRNA
CAUGUUGAAUUCAUAUCUUCUAUGCUAUUUCUCAGAAAAGUCACUCAAACGUCAAUUCAAGAUGGACCUGUGAGUGAGGAGUCAGUGAUCACCGAUUUGAAUUUGGCCACGCCGGAUAUACGAGACCUAAUAACUGCGGAACCCUUAGGACAGGAAACUGAAGAUAUGCCUUUCGAUCUGGAGGCUUUGCUUUCUCAGGACAUCAAUUCAAUCUUGACUGGGGAUGACUCACAUAUUCUGUGUGACCCUAUAAUGAACAGGGAUGAAAUGCACUCCACUGAUGAAGAUUUGAUGGAACUAAAUUCUCUUCUGUCUAAGAAUAAUGUGAAUUACACCUCUGAUCAUGUCAGUGAGAGUUUAACUUUAAUGGAAAUUGAGGAAGGAGAGAUAAGUCUACUUGGUGCCAAUGGAAAAACAGAUGAGCUAUUGAUGAGUGAUUUUGGAGAAGAACAUGAAGAUUUUAGUGACCUCCCUUCAGAAGAUGUGAAGAAGCCAUCGAAUUUCUUCCCAGGUUUACGUGACCAUGAUUAUGCAGCCCAGAAUAUUUCUUCUCAAGAUGUUACAAGUCCUACUGAAAAUGUUACUCCCCCCUCAUGUAUGGACACCAGUGAAGAGUGAAAGCGAUUCCCCCUGCCUCUUUUGUAACUCUGUUAGCAGUUGUGUUGAAGAAUCCAUUACAGUUGAUCCUUCUACUUGAGUUUAGUUUGAGCUCCCUACAAUCUAACUUUCUGGUAGAAAACAGAUAGGAAUUUCUAACUUUGUCUAGCAUAUUUCCCUUUAUCACUUAAUCACAGCAGAAUCUGUAACUUUAAAAUGUGUUAAUAUUUUUGCUCUCUUGUACAUAAGCACAAUAUCAUAGUUGGGAUAAAAUCCAGUCCACAUGAAAAGGACAGGAAAUUCAUCAAAGUUAGGGGUUAAUAAAAAGGCCCUUUUUUUCUAGUUUUAAAGCAACAUUCUUCCAAUACUUUGUGUCCAGAAUAGAAAUUUGUGUUAAAUGCCAAAAACUACAGUAGGUUUCUAAAUAAAUAGCAAAUCUCUGUGAUUAGUUUCUGCUUAUAGGAAAAAAUACAUCAUCUCAGAAUUUCUUGAGACAGAUCUGGUUUCGAAAAAUAAUGUUAUUUGUCAACUCUGAAAAGGAUGGCUCUAAAAUUUUCCUUAGAUUUUAAAGGUACAUUUAUUUUAGAUUUUACAGUUUUUCUGUAAGUUUUAUUAACUAUAGAAUUUUUACUUCUUAAAGAAAAUGUAAUUUUCAACAUAAAAUGAAACUUUUUACACCAAUCACUGUAAGAACUCUGAUUCUCUAACGAAGUUCUUCCACCAAAUGUAAAGAAACCUAAGAACAAAUUACUUAUUAGAAAUUAAAAUGGCAUAUUGCAACCAACCAUUUUUCAACUAUAUCUCUGAUCUCUGCAUCCACCUCUAUAGUUGUUUCAAAUUCACCCUGCCAUGUAUGUAAUUCUUUUAUGACUAAUUAUGCAUCAAAAAUGUUAUGCUUUUAAUCAAUUUGGAAUAGUUUGCACACAAACUUCUCCUACAACAACAUUCAUUUUUACCCAGCACAAGGGCACCGCAGCACUUAAACUCUAGAUCAUCUGUUUGGUAGAAAAAUGUUAUAAAACAUGGGCAAGAUUUCUGGUUUCAGAAACUUGAAGGUAAAUUUUUGCAUUACAUUUUUAUUUUGGUACCAGGAACCAAACUCAGGGCCUUCUGCUUGCCAGGCAGGCACUUGUGCCACUGAGCUAUAUCCCUGGCCCUCAAGGUAAAUUUUUAAGAGAUCAAUUUGUACUACUUUUCUACUGUUUUAUUCCCUUCCACUAAACUCUACCUACAAAUUUACUAAUUUUAUGCAUUUUUUAAUUUCACAAAUUUCACAUGUGCUACCAAUUAACUCAUCAUUAAAGGAAAGGAAGGAUUUUGUCAUUGUUUUCUGCCAUUACAUCUUAAAUAGAGUAUGUUCACUUAACUGUGAUGCUUUAUACAUUUAAAAUUCUUAAGAAACUCCAGUCUGCAUUUUAUUGAGUACUGAGCACUUAUAUGAAGAGUGAGUCUAAUGUAAUUUAUAAAUUGAAAAAAAUUUGUUGUUACUGUUAUUUCAUGUGCUGUAUAAACUUAAUAAAGAACUUAG